rnacentral:rRNA from 1 species
CUACGGGGUGCAGCAGUAAAGAAUCUUUCGCAAUGGGGGAAACCCUGGCGGAGCAACACCGCGUGGUGGAUGAAGGCCCUCGGGUCGUAAACACCUUUUAUAUGUCAAGAAAAUGACGGUAGCAUAUGAAUAAGCACCGGCUAACUCCGUGCCAGCAGCCGCGGUAAUACGGAGGGUGCAAGCGUUACUCGGAAUCACUGGGCGUAAAGGACGCGUAGGCGGGUUGGAAAGUCAGGUGUGAAAUCCUACAGCUUAACUGUAGAACUGAACUUGAAACUUCUAAUCUAGAGUAUGGGAGGGGGAGAUGGAAUUAGUGGUGUAGGGGUAAAAUCCGUAGAUAUCACUAGGAAUACCUAAAGCGAAGGCGAUCUCCUGGAACAUUACUGACGCUAAGGCGUGAAAGCGUGGGGAGCAAACAGGAUUAGAUACCCUCGUAGUC